rnacentral:rRNA from 1 species
CCCCACCACCAAAGCAUUCUCUGGUGUUGAAGGCCCUGCAAAGCAGCAUCGCGGUGGCGGAGCGUCGUUUGCGACGCCCAACACACAAAACAAGCGGUGAGUGCUUUGGGGUGGGGUGACUGCGUACCUUUUGUAUAAUGGGUCAGCGACUUAUAUUCUGUAGCAAGGUUAACCGAAUAGGGGAGCCGGAGGGAAACCGAGUCUUAAUUGGGCGUUAAGUUGCAGGGUAUAGACCCGAAACCCGGUGAUCUAGCCAUGGGCAGGUUGAAGGUUGGGUAACACUAACUGGAGGACCGAACCGACUAAUGUUGAAAAAUUAGCGGAUGACCUGUGGCUGGGGGUGAAAGGCCAAUCAAACCGGGAGAUAGCUGGUUCUCCCCGAAAGCUAUUUAGGUAGCGCCUCGUGAAUUCAUCUCCGGGGGUAGAGCACUGUUUCGGCUAGGGGGCCAUCCCGGCUUACCAACCCGAUGCAAACUGCGAAUACCGGAGAAUGUUAUCACGGGAGACACACGGCGGGUGCUAACGUCCGUCGUGAAGAGGGAAACAACCCAGACCGCCAGCUAAGGUCCCAAAGUCAUGGUUAAGUGGGAAACGAUGUGGGAAGGCCCAGACAGCCAGGAUGUUGGCUUAGAAGCAGCCAUCAUUUAAAGAAAGCGUAAUAGCUCACUGGUCGAGUCGGCCUGCGCGGAAGAUGUAACGGGGCUAAACCAU